GGCUCAGGACGAACGCUGGCGGCGUGCCUAAUACAUGCAAGUAGAACGCUGAGGACUGGUGCUUGCACUGGUCUAAGGAGUUGCGAACGGGUGAGUAACGCGUAGGUAACCUACCUCAUAGCGGGGGAUAACUAUUGGAAACGAUAGCUAAUACCGCAUGACAAUAGGGUACACAUGUACCCUAUUUAAAAGGGGCAAAUGCUUCACUAUGAGAUGGACCUGCGUUGUAUUAGCUAGUUGGUAAGGUAACGGCUUACCAAGGCGACGAUACAUAGCCGACCUGAGAGGGUGAUCGGCCACACUGGGACUGAGACACGGCCCAGACUCCUACGGGAGGCAGCAGUAGGGAAUCUUCGGCAAUGGGGGGAACCCUGACCGAGCAACGCCGCGUGAGUGAAGAAGGUUUUCGGAUCGUAAAGCUCUGUUGUUAGAGAAGAACGGUAAUGGGAG
rnacentral:rRNA from 1 species